rnacentral:rRNA from 1 species
CCUACGGGAGGCAGCAGUCGGGAAUAUUGCGCAAUGGAGGAAACUCUGACGCAGUGACGCCGCGUGCAGGAAGAAGGUUUUCGGAUUGUAAACUGCUUUAGACAGGGAAGUAAAAAGACAGUACCUGUAGAAUAAGCUUCGGCUAACUACGUGCCAGCAGCCGCGGUAAUACGUAGGUGGCAAGCGUUGUCCGGAUUUACUGGGUGUAAAGGGCGUGUAGCCGGGAAGGCAAGUCAGAGGUGAAAUCUGGAGGCUCAACCUCCAAAUUGCAGUUGAAACUGUUUUUCUUGAGUACUGGAGAGGCAGACGGAAUUCCUGGUGUAGCGGUGAAAUGCGUAGAUAUAAGGAAGAACACCAGUGGCGAAGGCGGUCUGCUGGACAGCAACUGACGGUGAGGCGCGAAAGCGUGGGGAGCAAACAGGAUUAGAUACCCUAGUAGUC